AUGGCGUCCCAGCUGGUCGAGAGCCACCGUGCCGGGGCCGAGGUCAUCAAGGGGGGCGAAGUCUGCAAGAAGAAGUCUGUCGAGCUCCUUGAAGAGCUCGGCCUCCCUAAAGGCCUCUUUCCAAUGGACGACAUCGAGGAGAUCGGGUACAACCGCGAGAGCGGGUUCGUUUGGAUGCUUCAGAAGAAGAAGAGCGAGCACACCUUCAAGAAGAUUAACCAGACCGUCUCCUACGACAUCGAGGUGACCGCUUUUGUGGAGAAGGGCAAGAUCAAGAAGGUCACAGGGGUCAAGUUCGAGGACCUGUCUUUGGUCGAGGUCUAUGUGGAUGAGUCUUCUGCUGAUAAGGUUACCAUCAAGACCAACACCGGUCUGUCUGACACCCAUGAUGCGGCCGUGUUCGCUCUCGGAGAAUAG
rnacentral:rRNA from 1 species